UACGUAGGGGGCUAGCGUUGUCCGGAAUCAUUGGGCGUAAAGAGCGUGUAGGCGGUCCGGUAAGUCCGCUGUGAAAGUCGGGGGCUCAACCCUCGAAUGCCGGUGGAUACUGUCGGGCUAGAGUGCGGAAGAGGAGAGUGGAAUUCCCGGUGUAGCGGUGAAAUGCGCAGAUAUCGGGAAGAACACCUAUGGCGAAGGCAGCUCUCUGGGACGGUACUGACGCUGAGACGCGAAAGCGUGGGGAGCGAACAGG
rnacentral:rRNA from 1 species